AAAAGGAUGCUUUCCAAGUUAACUAGAAUAGCAAGAGUUUUAGCCGCAUCCGAUACUGAAGAAAAAAAGAUUCGAAGAUUCGAUUACUUUAUGGUUAUCGGUGUCUCCACGGAAGAACAAGAAUAGUCUCAAACUGAGAAAUUGGCACUCUCUGUGUAAGCAUUUGCAGUGUGUAAGAACUUGGUUUCUAAUGUUUGGUCUUGAUCAAAGGAAUUCUUAGUUGCUCAGAAGUAGGUGGUUUUUGCAUGUUGAUUUCUCUUGGUGGGUUGUCUUCUCUGUGCAACCUUGUCGGUCUGAAAAACCACAUAUGGUUCUCUGGAUUGCCUGAAACAUGAGAAAAUAAAGGUCAACCUUCAGCAUGAUUCAUACAAAUCAUGUUCUACAGUGAGAUGUGGAGCCCUUCUCAUACCAUUUUUCAGGAACGUUUUCCAUGACAUGAUGAUAGAUCUGUUACCACCAUUUCCAAAAUCUUAGCUAGCAGGCCAAGACUUCACAUUGGUUUUGGCAUGAAUCGUCGACUCGGAGAAGAAGAGCAUCAUGGUGCUCGAAACGUGCUAAGCCACAGUCCCAAUAGUUCUUUCUCGGUCACCAUUGUUUGUGCUCUCGAGACAGUCCAAGUAUGUGAAAGCUAAGGAAGUCACCCUGCGACAGCCGGAAGAAGGACGAGUAAGAAUGUCUUUGUGCCAUUAAUGCUGCGCAUGAUGCAGAGUUUGAUAGCGGCCAGCCAGUCAUCUAAAUUAUUGACGAGGAAGUUUCUCCUCCGGAGCUAUUCCCACACCACGAGUCAUCGGUUUGCGCUUAGGCAAUUAGAACGAAUGAUGUUUACAUCUUCUCGAUUCGCAAGAUAUCAAAGCUGCGAGGAUCUCUUCUGAGACUUGGAUUUUUCUUUCCUAUUUCCAUGUUUCUUCAACCUGAAAGAAUGUCAAAUCAAGUAUGGGUAGCAGCCUCGCAUAUGUUGCAGACAUUUCUUGGAUCA